rnacentral:lncRNA from 1 species
GCACAGUUCACCCACCCCGGAUGUGUCGUCAGUGAAGUUCGAGAUCCUGGCCGGAGUGCUCACGCUCAUUGCGAUUCUAUCUGCGAUUGUUUUAGCAGGGGUCUUUGCGUAUGGAAAAUGCAACGAGAGCAUGCCGACCGGCUGUUCCACUCCAACAGUUACGACCACUGCUCCUCAAAAACCAAAGAUUCCACUCAUCUGUACCUUCGGGAGACUGCUCGGCCAGCCGGCGACACUUCCAGAGGAAGGUCUCUGUGACUACGCUUUCUACGAGUUCCACUACCAGCCAUAUGGCAGCCCCGACUUUCUCAAGGCGGAUCAUGUCUUGCUACAGCGAUAUAUGGACGCAACUAAGCUUCGUCGGAAGACACAGUAUGGACUCGGCUUCAGCCCGUU